rnacentral:rRNA from 1 species
GACGAACGCUGGCGGCGUGCUUAACACAUGCAAGUCGAACGGAAAGGCCCUGCUUUUGUGGGGUGCUCGAGUGGCGAACGGGUGAGUAACACGUGAGUAACCUGCCCUUGACUUUGGGAUAACUUCAGGAAACUGGGGCUAAUACCGGAUAGGAGCUCCUGCUGCAUGGUGGGGGUUGGAAAGUUUCGGCGGUUGGGGAUGGACUCGCGGCUUAUCAGCUUGUUGGUGGGGUAGUGGCUUACCAAGGCUUUGACGGGUAGCCGGCCUGAGAGGGUGACCGGCAACAUGGGGACUGAGAUACGGCCCAGACGCCUACGGGAGGCAGCAGUGGGGAAUAUUGCACAAUGGGCGGAAGCCUGAUGCAGCAACGCCGCGUGCGGGAUGACGGCCUUCGGGUUGUAAACCGCUUUCGCCUGUGACGAAGCGUGAGUGACGGUAAUGGGUAAAGAAGCACCGGCUAACUACGU